CAGUCGCCGCGGGAAUACGUAGGUGGCAAGCAUUGUCCGGAAUUAUUGGGCGUAAAGGGCUCGCAGGCGGUUUCUUAAGUCUGAUGUGAAAGCCCCCGGCUCAACCGGGGAGGGUCAUUGGAAACUGGGGAACUUGAGUGCAGAAGAGGAGAGUGGAAUUCCACGUGUAGCGGUGAAAUGCGUAGAGAUGUGGAGGAACACCAGUGGCGAAGGCGACUCUCUGGUCUGUAACUGACGCUGAGGAGCGAAAGCGUGGGGAGCGAGCAGGAUUAGAUACCCCUGUAGUCCCUGUCUCUUAUAC
rnacentral:rRNA from 1 species